rnacentral:rRNA from 1 species
UACGUAGGGCGCAAGCGUUGUCCGGAAUUAUUGGGCGUAAAGAGCUCGUAGGCGGCUUGUCACGUCGGGUGUGAAAGCCCGGGGCUUAACCCCGGGUCUGCAUUCGAUACGGGCAGGCUAGAGUGUGGUAGGGGAGAUCGGAAUUCCUGGUGUAGUGGUGAAAUGCGUAGAGAUCCGGAGGAACACCAGUGGCGAAGGCGACACGCUGGGCCGUACCUGACACUGAUACGCGACAGCAUGGGGAGCGAACGGG